CUGCAGCUCAGUCUAUGCAGACAGACAGGUGAGAGUCCUGCACUCACAGCAGCUUGAGCUGGAGAGGUGAGGGAUGCAGUAAUGGAUCUUACAGCAGGGCAAGAGCAUUGGCUUUUGGGCAGCCCUGCCAUUAACUUCAGCACUCUGAGAAGCAGAAGACUGUCAUGUAAAAGCACCAUCCUUAACUGAGUGUUGUGUAGCCUCCACCGCUUGUAGGAAAUGAGAUGGAGUCUAACUGAUGAUGGCAGUGGCCAAAUCCCAUUCCAGGCUCACUCCUCUCUUCCCCUUGUUCGUAGACACUAUUCUUAGCAAUGCCUCCAGGCAGGGCUCCUGUACACUGAUGGAUUUCAGCAGCUGAGAGGUGACCUGACCUGCUUGCUUAAAAGGAAGAGGAAGGACUAGGAGCAGAAGAUUUCAGCAUCAGGACAAGAAGAUUUGGGCUGUGAGUUUGCAGAGCUGUGCUAUAUACUUACCAUGGAUUCUCUCUGGGAUCAAGCCCUGUGCUGUAAAGUCAGAGGUAGCUUUACCCUCACUUCAGUGCUCACAGGAUCCAGCCAGCCUUUGGUGACUAUCAGACAUAAAACAGGCAUGACCCAGAGCUCCUGUGCAAUUACUGAGGCAUCUCACAAUGUGUGUUAACUCUGCACAGCACCUGGGGAAAACGUUUAUCUCAGCUAAACAAGACACUUCUUGCACACCAGUGCUUGCAUUCAGUAGCAGAAUGUGCGGGAAAGCAGAAGGGCAAUCCGGGACAAGAAUAUUUAGGCUACAAUACAGAAACUGAAGCUGUCUCUGAGGCUGCAGCAGCUCUUUCUGGGGAUGCAAACCUUCUCUGAAGGACUGGGAAAUGCAGAGCACAAAAGGACUGAGGAUUUUGUGUGGGAAACUGUGAGUGUGCUUUAAGAAAGGAAGAGUAUGAUUAGAGAACAACAGGCGGAUUUUAAAGUCUCACCUGCUCAGGAGCAAAAGAAGAAAAUUAUUUUUUAGAGGUGAACCAGAAGCCACGGGUUUGCCACCUUGGAAAUAAAUUUACAACAUCAGCAAAUGCUUUUUGAGUGCCCCAGUGAGGUAAGCAACUUGCUGCUUCCUUUCUGUUUUCACCCACGUGUGACUGCAUGAGCCCUCUGUCUCUGCAAGAGCACGACUUUUACUACUCUGGCAGCAGAAAAACAUGAAACCACAUCUGCCUCAGUUCUCCAUCAUUUUUCAUGCCUGCACAGCACACAUGGGGUGUGCCUUGGACCAGGGGCUGUGUCAGGUAAGAACUGCCACAUCACAGCUGCAUUGCACGCACCCUGGGAGGACCCAGACAGCAUCCUGGGGCAGGGCAUUGAUGGCUCCAGGGACAGGAGCCCAGCCAGGGACACCAUCGAGGAGAGCUGUCAGGUGGGGACAGCGUGGGCUGAAGGCUUUUCCCUCACCUCCACGCACACAGCUGCAAUAUCCCCAGCAUGUCCUGGCACUUAAACCAGUAAGAGCAGAUUUUCACAGUGAUGAACACGGGGGAAAAGAGACACAGAGGGACAUUUUGUGAGGGCUAAACACCCACACUAGCUUUGCAGAAGUUGUUUUGCUUUCCACCUGCUUAUUCCCACCCACUUAGGCAACUUAAUACUGACUUUUCAUUCAAAUUUUUUUUAAAAAAAAAGCAUUUGAAACAAAAUGAGCUAAUUACAGAGUAAAUAUUUAGCUUGAAAUGAGCAGACAGAUAUUCAAAGCCAUUUUCUGACAUGACAGAUGAUCUGAAAGGAGCUAUGCUGCAGGCAUUGUGUGCCGAUCAAACCCAAUUUAAAACUACAAGGCAUAGAAGCAAAAAUAGACAUGACCCCAAGCACAAACAUCCCCACACAGGCAAAUGUCUCCUGUAAACUGCCAUGGGUGAUUUCAUGGCAGCUGAACCUGGAGGCACUGGAACUGCAUCACCCACCUCUGAGGGUGCUGCUGUGGUAAACCUGUGUGAACAGCACUGGAGCAACACACAAACAUUGCCCUGGCAGGGCUCAUCCAGCUGCUCCAGUUUUGGGACUGCAGCAUGGGCCCUACAUUUCCUGAAGACCGAAGGGAAAUUCCUGUCCCCUUAUGCAGAUGGCCUAACUUCCAGCUCUUGGUAUGCUCGGUGGAACCUCAGUGACUCUUGCUACCUUUGCCACACCUAAAUUAUUGUGACAUUCAGCUGGCAGGUGGGAGCCAGGAAAUGUGGGAAAAGUUGCCUUUUCACCCUUAAGUGCUGAGGAGCUCAUAGCCAAGCAGCCACACCCCAGACAUGCUGAGGAGCAGAGAGAUGCAGGAGGAGCUGCAUCUGCUUAGCACCUCCAGCUCCAAGCCCACAGAGCACACUCGGAGAUCAACCUUUUCCCAAAGCUUUGGCUCAAACCCUGGUGCUCCUGGAGCAGCCCUGAGCUUGCAGCAGAAGUGGACGGAGACCUGAGUCCAACUUUGGUGAGCAGGAUUGGGAAACAGGAGCUCUACAGCCACACACCACCCACAAAAUGGGUGUGGAUGGCUGGAGGCUGUGCUGGGUCCCUAAAGGAGUGGAGGGUUAUUACCAGAUGUGGGUAUGGCCCCACAUGGGAGAUGCAGCUGGACCUCCAGGACCCGGGGCAGCCUGGAGAGGAGAAGUAUGAGAGACCUUACUACCCACACUUCACAUGUGGGAAACCAGCAGGGCAUUUAUGGGAUUAGAUGCAGAAGGAAAAUCUUCAAGGCAGUAGCUCUGGGACAGGAAAAAAUGAGGAAAUUCACACAGUAUCCCUGAGUGACUGUGCCCACAUCCUGGGGGAUGCAUUGGCUAAGGAAGGCAAGGUCUCUACCAGGUCAUCCCAAUGUUAAUGACCCAGGUAUUUUGAAAUCAGAAAUACAAGCAGCUGCAGUGAGGGCAGUGAAAACAUGGACAUGAUGUGGCUCCUGGCAGAAUUGUUCCCUAGUGCACAAAUACUAAUGAAGACAACUUCAAGCUUGAGGUGCUAGUCUGGUUCUUCAAACUCAGGGCAGAGCAGAAGGCAAAGUGGUCUUGUGGGCAGAAGGAAGUGAUGGCCCUGCCCAGAGGACACAGCCCAUCAGUCCUUCCCCACCAGCCUCCUGCCUCUUCCCCUUGGCUGUCACUAAGGCAAAGAGCCAUCCCUGCUAUCCCGUGCCUGAGGUUUGGGAUGAAACUUCACAGAUGAAACUUCCUCCUGUUCCCUCCAGGAGGCCCCAGUGCCAGGGCUACUCCAUCACCCUUGCCAGGCUGUGUGGUCCCUUCACCUUUUGGUCAAGCCUUUGACCCAAUUUUUAGCAUUAGCACCAUGCUGACAAUCCUUUGGUCCUUCAGAUUUCCCACCCAGGAGCUUGGUUUUUUUGCAGGAAGCAGCUGCACAAUCAGACUACCAGUGGGCUGGGUCUGAGACUGGGUCCUGGGUUUGCUGCUCUUCACUGGUCAGUGACAUCUGCAAGGUGAGAGAGAAGAAGCCAGUCCUGUCCCUGGUGUGGCCAUAGACCCUCAGCACUGCAGCACAGCUCUGGCUCUGGAAAUGGCCCUCCUGCACAUGGAGAGCCAGGAAGUGCCUGGGAUAUCCCAGACCCAGGCGCCUCGCUGUGGCUUUGGGAGGUGAGGGCUGCUAACUCCCAAGCUCUGAAGCCUCUCUGAGUUGUUUGUGGAAACACUAGUCAAAGAAAAGAGGUGCUGAAAAAUAAACUAUAAAAUGAAGUGGAGUAGUAACUGUCCUGGGUAGAGGAAUCUCAGAAAUGUCAUGGCCUUGACUGCCCUGGUGGGUAAGAGAGCUCUGGGUAUUCACAGCCCUGCUGAGUCCUGGGAGGCCAGCUAGACCUGGCUUUAUUGGCCCUGGUUCUCCUUUUAGUUUUAUCCAAAUGGCCAGACUACUGAGGUACCAUUCAAAAUGUGCCUUUCUGCCUUUUCUGCCUUGCAUCACCCUCUGUGCUCAAGCCCUGCUGUUCCCGUGGGUCAUUCCUUUGGGCACGUUCAUGGCUCUUGGUUUCUCUGACUUAGAAGAUGAGAUGGCAGCUUUUAAAAGCAUUUGUAUUUUCCCCAAUGCCUGGAGUGAAACUGAGGUCAGAAACAUUUCUGGGCAUGAAAUAUGCCUCUGAGCAUGUUAGGAUUUUGUUCCAUGAGGAUUUCUUGGCUUCCAGAAGGUAGAAGCAAAGGAUUUGGAAAAAGACAACUUCUGUUCUGCAGCACUCCCUGAGCAGCAACCUACCACCAAGCCAAUCAGUCAGGGCAGCAUAGCAGAGCUCAAAGCUUGGGACCUGGUUGUUUGCAAGGCAGAAAAGACAAGAUUCAUCCACUGCCUCUUCUCUCCUCCUGGCAACCCUCAUUGUAUUUUGGGCAAAGAUGCUCAGACUCAGUGCUGGUAACUGUUCUAGAAACAUGCAGCCCCAGGAGACCGAUGGAGCUGCAGUGGCAGGGAGGGAAUGACGUGGAUACACGUGGUGAGCAAAAUCUCCAGGGGUCACAUCAGAGAUGUACUGUACCCAGACCCAGCUCUUAUUCAGGACACACUUCCUGCACAUGCAGGAUUGCUGAGAUCUCAGCCUUGGCAAUGCUUAUAAGGAUGCUCCUUUUCCUCUAGAGCCUCCUAGCUGUGAAGAUCCCCUGCAAGGGGACAGGAAGUCAUAAAAAGGGACAAGAUGAUCAGUAUUUCACAUUUUCCCAAAGGAAACUAGAGUUAAAUUCACCAUGCAUCUGUACAGCUCCAAGUAGAGCUGGACACUGCUACAUCACAGGGACAAAGUGGCUCCUGGCUCUGUACCAUGGCCACACAGUACAUGUCCCUGGUGCCAUCAGUCACCAGCAGGGAGAGGGAUGCUCAGCCAAGGUGCUUCUCAAAGGAGCCCUUUGUUUUUGUCGAGAUGUUUCAUUUCAGGGCAUGAUGAGGGCAUGCCAGAGACAGGCAGGGCUGCAGAGUAUUGAGUUUUCUAAAUGCACAGAACUGCCCAGUUCCCCCUGCAGUGCCAGAUCACACCUGGCCUGCCAAUCACAGUGAGUUUUGUGCAGCUGCUGGGAUGUCCCACCUGAGAUACCUCUCAGGGUGCUGUCAUGCCUCUAAGCACCCCAGGCCAUUGCUGGGAGCCACUGAUGGUCACCACUCCCACAAUUUGGGCAGCUCUGGCCAGGCGCAAAUGUGUUCAGCCUCUGGAGGGCUAUUUGGCUUCAGUUUCAUAUUCUUUGUUUUGAAGGCACAGUUCCUCAGUGCAAUGCAACAUACUUGAGAGUUUGAAGGCUCCAGGAUCAGCCAGAGGAAAAUCAGGAGGCCUGGCAUCCCAUGCCUGGGGUUAUUUAGGACCCUCCUUGCUACUAGGGAUGCCUUACAGCUGCUGCCUGCAUGCUGGUCUUUGGGGGGACAACCAGAGCAAGCUCCCUUAGCUCUGUGCAGGGAGUUUCUGCCCAGUUUUGGUGUGAGGACACUGGCUGAUGGUUAGGAGGCCUUUCAUGGUCCCCACAGCUCAUGGAUAACGCUGGGGGCCAGUGACUUGCCAGCACAGGCCCCGGUACUUACUCAUGCUGCUGCUGACAGGUACCAAAUCCAUAGUGCAAGAGGUAUUUGAUGUAAGGAGCCUUUGGGAAUGGGGUUUUCCCCUCAACACUGCAGUAACUCCAGGUAUUUGCUCUUUUCAAGUCAAAACCAUCUGAGAGCCCAGAGCUGAAGAGAUACUUUGCACAGUUGCUCAGUGACCCGAACUGCUGAGCCGGGCUCUGCCUGCCUCCCCUCCAGAGCUAAUGACCCUCUCAACCACAGCAGGACCUGGAUCCACACCAGGGAUGAGUCGGCUUCACCACAGCUGUCAUCUCCAAUGCUUCAAGGCUGUCUCACCCAAUCUGACCCCGUGAAGCGUGUCAGACUCACCUCUCCAGACCUCUGGCUGCACCAGCUCUCAGCUCAGCGCUGCUCACAUCACACUGUUAGUGGGGAGCAAGCGGGUCAUUUCUGUUCCUUUACCACAAACCCCACUGCAGACCCCCAGAGAAGAAAUAAGUGUUACCCCUGGGUGACAGCUCUGAAGCCAGCUCACCCCUCACCCUCAAGGCCACUGUGCAAGUUCAGCACACUCCAGCUUUUCCCCAAUUCUGACUUCUUCAUUUUGUCCCCAAACUUUUCAAUCAGCCCUCCACAACACCCCUGUGCAAAGCUUUGCAUGGAUGGCACCAAUUCUCCCUUUUCCUGUCUCACCUUCAAGCCCUGCAGCUGAGUGGGACCAGCAGGGCAGGCAGCACACCCACAUUCACACUGGGGCGAGCCAAAAUCCCUCCCCAGCCCCUUGUGCUGUGGGCAGAGGCAUCCACAGGGGGAGAGCGGGGGGACAGCCGGUGGCGUCGCGCCCACGUGAGCCACUCUGGGCCAGGAGCAAGGAGCUAUUUCUGGAGAAGCGCUUCUCGGGGAGCAGAAGCAGCAGAACUCAGAAGCACUGACCGAAAAAGAAAGGCCCUGGUGUUUUGAGCAGGAAGUGAGGUUUCCCAGCCUCCCGCCGGGAAGGACGGGAGACAUCCUUGCAAAAAUAAGAGAGGACUGCGGUGCUCUGUGGCAGCAGGGCUCCAGAGGAGCUCAAAGGCUACUUCAGCAAGACCGUAAACACGCCAGAUCUGCUGUUGUUGCAGAGCUCCGUGAAAUCAGCGAUGUCUGAGCGGAGUUCAGCUGGAGAGCGCUGGUGCUAUAAAAAACAAAGUGACUUUGGGCUUUGACGCUUCCUCCUGACACACAAAAAGGUGAUUUGUGAUUCAAAAGACAAGGAAUUUAUCAUCAAAAGGAGCUGGGACAGAGCUCAGUGUUUACACAUGGAAGAACAAGACAGGCACCAAGAGCAGAUAUAUUUAUACUCAUCCAUUAAUAAAAGAAGCCAAGUCAACCAUACCUUUGUGCUAAAGUUAGAGCACAGCACUCUGCAUGUCCUUAAAAAGGCAAGAAAGUUUCCACAAACUGGGACAGCUGCUCCCAGUGCCGGCUCUGUGCACCUCCUCCUUGGCACUCUGGCAUCAGUGUGCUGCAGCAGGAAAGGGGCCAAGCAUGGCAAGGCUUCUCCAAGUGGGAAGGCUGACUCCUAGAGUCUGGUCAUGGGCUGGUGGCCACUGCAUCUCAGGAGCCAGACAGUCCCUGCUGCACUGAGAGAGACCUGCAGGAGAUGACUGCCUCUUGCCAGAAACAAAAACCCUCCAGUAUACUUUCAGCUCUAGUAUUCUCAUUGCUUCCCUGGUUAUGGGGCUCACACAAGCCAGGAGCUUUCUCCUCUGCUGCAGGUGGAAUGGGGGAAUGCUGGGCUUGGCACGCUCAGGCUGGCUCUGUGGGCAAGGAACUGGUUUGUGGGGAAAAGCAAAGGGAAGAGAAGCAGCACUCAAGGGUUCCAGGUUUGAGUCAAAGGGUCAGUGCAAGGCCAAGGUGGACAGAGAGCACCCAGGACAGAGGAUGGUCCAUCUCCAGUGAAGUCAGCAAUAGGGCUGGAUAAUGCAAGUCACUGGAAGGUCCUGGAUUAGUAUUUGGCAUUUCUUAACCCACAGCUACAGUUGGAGUUGCCUGGCUUCACCUGCCGUGUGCUUGGGAAUGUUACACCAAUUGGCAGGAAAGACACAGAAAGCCAGCUCUCUGUUCCUUGGGAGGUGCUUCUAGAAAGCAAUCAAUUAUCCUUCCUGACAAGUAACAGAUGAGCUCUCACAGUUGUUUUCCUGUUUCCCUUCUCUUCCCCCACCCAGUUCCAGCCCUCAAACCAUGCUGGAAGCAGCAGGAGCCAGCACUGGAUAUGCUAUGCCAGAAAUGAUUGCGUUUCAGGCAAACUGAGAGCAAUCACAAAAAAUACAUCUUGUCUAAAUCAAAGUUAAGCACGUUGCAGUUUUUCUUCUCCACACCCCAGUGAAACAGCUGCAAGCAACAAGCAAGCCCGGCUGCACAGGGCAGGAAACAGCUGCAGCACACAGCAGAGCAGGGGUCACCUCUCACCUCCCAGGACACUGAGGUUGUUGGCACUGCAGAAUGCAUUUCCCCUCUGAACUCACACAGAAGAUGCUACAGUUACAUGAACUGUACCUUGACUGACCUUUGAGCAAGAUAUAGCACUAGAUGGCCUCCACAAAUCUCUUCCAACCAAAUUAUUCUACAACUUUGCAAAUUUCUGCAUAAAGACAGAAAGAGGGCAUGCAAAUAACUCUUCCUCCCACACCAGCUCCUAAGCUAAGCUCUCCUAUCAAAGGGAUGCUCAGGCUGCUAUCUCUGAGCCAGUACAGUCAAUAGAAGUCCAGUGGCAAAAUCCUGACAAGUCAGCUUUGCUACUGGCACAGGGAUCAGGACUUCUUCCUCAGCUUUUGGGUCAAAUCUCCUGAUGCAGCUCAUCAGUGCCAGCCUAAGAUGCAGCCUUAGCUGUCACACUAACCUCACCCUUGAGCUCUUCUGCUAGUUCAGUUUGAAUUCAUAAAUCAUUUCAAUAUGAUCCAAAUGCUUUCCAGCAAAUGUUACCAUUUACUGACUCCAUCCCACCCUGCAGCAGACAGGCACAGCUGUGUGGCACUGAGGUUCUCACUUGGCAGCCACGCUGGUGGACCUGUACCAAGCCCCCUGGUACAGAGCCCACGCCAGGGCUAUUGCCAAACCCUCUGCCCAGGUCCUUCCUGGUGACAGGGGCACUGUCACUCAGGUGAUGCUACCUACACACACAGAAACAAGCACCAUGGCCCACGAUCAGCUGUGACUAAUGUGAUUUGUCUAUUCCUUAUUACAAUUAUUUACAGCUUAUAGGAAGGGGGAUGCAUUAAAUCAGCCGUGUUUGCUUCCUCAACCAGCUUGCAGUGCAUUUAAAGAACCUCUGCUUCCUUUGGUGAGCUCUGCUUCUGAUAAAGCAUGUUGAGCAAUGCUGAAUAUUACAACACAUUUACUAAUUAGUGAAUUACAAAUUACUUUGACUAAUUAGUAAAUUCCAGGAUCAGCCAUUUUACAGCUUUGCUGUGAAACAAGGGUAGGCUGGAAGACCUAGAGCUCCUUUCCUGUGCCUCUGAAGCCUGCCUCUGCAAUACCUUCUCCCAGCACCGCGGAGCUUUCUUUCAAGACCUUUCCCAUUUCCACUGAUGCAGAAUCCCUUAACCAGCUUUUCUUCAACCAUUAUUCAGCCCUGAUUUCCAAGCAUCUAAUUUUAGCAGUCACUGUUGAACAUCCUCUUGAGUUAUUGUUAGAAUGAAAUGAGGAUCAUCUGACAGGAACGUAUCCUUGGUAAAUACUGGGAAGGAAUACUUAAGGAGCUAGCACACCUUCCUGCAUCAUAAUCGACAAUCCUACUGCCCAGGCACACACCUUAUCCCACCCUUUUUUGUUCCUGGUACCUUGCAUUUCCAAAGGCAAUUAAAGCACCAGCCUCAACUGUACUAGGCAUAUUUGGCUGUGUAAUUUUGCUCAGUUAUUGUUUCAAUAAUCACUUUCAAUUAGCCACAGGGAUUUAUUAUUUGCUAUUUUUAGGAUCAUUUCAGUUUUAAAGGCACCUGAUUACACAGAUCUAUAUUUGCAUGACAUCUUUCACUGGAGGAUUUGUAAGUACUAUGUGGAAUGUGAAUGAAUUUCUGCUUGUCUGCAGCAAUGCUCUUUUUACAGACAGGACAACAGGGGCAGUAAUUAAAAGACAUGUCCAAACUCCCAGAGGAAAUUUACACUGACAGAGGAACCCCAGCUUCCAGCGGUGUGUGUUAACUAUUACACCUGUGCUAACACAGACAGAGCAAGGUUGGCCACACAGGCACUAAAGGAGAUGCAGAUAUGUAAUUUGAAAUGGUUGUCUCUCCUUCCACAUUAACAGGCUCAAACACCAACUAGGCUUGAAGACAAAAAAAAAAAUUAAAAAAGCUUCUUAUCAAAUACCAAACAAUUGGCCCUUCUCUGCUAAUAACAAGCAAUGGGAAAGAAUGGCAGGGAAAGGUGUGGAUUUUCUGAGGUUGGUAUAGGAACAGAUGGGGCUGGGAUUUUGCCAGCGUGAGUUGCCAAGGCCCUUUAUCACUGCUAAGAAGAUCCAAGCUCCCGGCUCGUUCUUCACACAGCUUCCCUUCUUUGCAUUUUACCUGCCAGGGCAAUGCACCAGCGAAAUCCAUCCAGAUGUGCUGAAAAACAAACAACACAGGGGAGCCAGCAGACUGGUGUUUCUCUCUUUUAUUUAAAAACAGUGCUUCAUUACCAUUUGCAAAGGGUUAGGAAGGGUUUCCCCCCUUGCUUAGAGUUUAUAAAAGCCAGCAACAUGAUCAAUAAUUUAUACACAUGGAUAGUAAUACAAAAAAAAGGAAUAAAAGCUAAAGAUCUAACUACUCCAACCUUCACAAUUCCAGCUACUUGAUAAUAAUAGGAAUAACCCAAUGAAUACUGUAUGGUCUGAAAGCUACUAUACAAUAUGAUACUUAACGAGGGAGGGCGGGAAGUUAAAGGCUGUCACAAAGCCCUGGGAUGCAGAUACUGCUUCUCCAGAGUCAGCAGGGAAAUGGGACCCUGGGCAAGCGGCUCGGGCGUCCUAGGAAAUGAUCCAGGGGAAGGGAACGCAUCCCCUCGGGACACGCCCUGCUCCCCGGGGUACCUGGAAUGGGAGGUGCUGGGGAGACUGCGACAAGGGGCAAGUCUGUUGCUGCCAUUGGAGGUGCUGUGGCAUCUCAGCCUCGCACUGAAAAUCUCCAAGUCUCAAAGAGAUCAGCCUGUGAGGUCAGUAAAAUACUCCACCAGCUCUGUAUCACUCUAUAGCCCUGAUUCUCAUAUGCUAUCAGCCCCAGGUUUUAGCUCCAGCUAUUUACAAGCAGGAUUUAUCAUAUAAAAAAAACCAAACAAACCAAAAACCAAACAAAGCCUAACAAAAACCCCAAACAAACAAACAAACAGGAAAACCCAAGGAAAUAAAACAAAACGAAGUCAUAUCCCCUAGGGUGAAAGAGGAUGAUUUUGUCACUUGAUAAUGCAGCCAAAUUGAGCUGCCAAAACUACAACACUCGCACACGCAAAAUACUGUGAACAGAAAAAAAUAGAAAAAUAUGACCAGAACUGAGACUACUAAUGUGGGAGGCCUGAUUUCUGUAAGGAAUUUACUCCUCAGGGAAGCAACAAGCCUCUCCACCAGCAGAGAACUGGGAAUCUGGCAAGACGUUUAUUGACCCACUUCAGAGCAUCAACAAAAAUUUAAAAAGAAAAAACAUUCCUAAGAUUAACAGGCAUUUUACUGACUCUGACUGCCAGCCAAAUGAAUAUCUUGAUGGACGGCUUUAGACACCAGCAAUCUCCUGGUGAAAUCAGGCAAGGAUUUUGGCUGAUGCAUUCCUGCUCUAUCACAAGUUGAGAGGCAGCGUGGGAAGCUGGUCACCUGCACAAGCCUGGGCCAGCUGCAGCCCAUGGCCCCAACAGGACAGCCACAGGCAGAACUGGCAGCCCCAGCAAGAAGCUGUCGUCCAGGGUCAGCAGUGGCAACAGAGACAGGACUCGGCCAUGCUGAGUCCCGUUCAGGCUGCCACUGGUGCAGGCACUGCAGAGGGAUGGGGGCUCUCCUGACAGCUCCUGGCUGGAGCAAAGCACACCAGGCACAAAUCCCACAGCCUACUUGCAAAGGGCCCCAUUUCACACUGGCUAUCAGACUCCUGCUUGCCUUGUUGACUGGAGUUUUCAUUGUAGAAGAGAAGUUUACUGGGGUUGGAGGGUGGAGAGGGCAAUCAGUAAGGUGGGGAUGCAGGGAACAGGCUUUUCAGACAUUAACAUCACCAAAAAUAGUGUUUUAUGCAACAAAGAAUCAAGUCUCACUGGUGUAUACUACAAAAUGUUUGACAUUAUCCAAGAGCAUGUCAAAAAUAAAAACACAAAGAAGUUUACAUUGGAUGUUCAUCUUGUUCACUAGGUUGGUUCUCCCCCCACCCUCCUAUUUUAAAACAGUGCAAACAGGUAAAACACUUUAAAAAUCACCCCUCUACACCAAGGACAGCAUUCCCCCACCCUGCCAGGCUGGAGGGUCACAGGCAGCAGGUCCUCUGCCAGGCUGUCUGUGUGCUUUCCCUUUGGAGCUAGAUUCAGUAAAAGCACUCCCCAAAGCUGUUGUUUGGGUUUCCCUUUAUUAAAUUCCUAAGUGCUCCCCAAACCUGUUUUCCACUUGCCUCCAUCUUCGUGGCUAGGAUGGGAAGAUACAGAUAGGGAUGGGCUGGGGAAAAACAUGGGUAGAACUGAGAGGCUCUGCUUUGUAUUCCCCACUGAGAGAGCUCUGGGUGCUGGAAUUGAAAGCCCAGCAGCCAGUGUCUCUCUUCAGACAGGGAAAUGGCUUCAUUAACCGUUCCACAACCAGCACUCAAACCAGCUACUCAGAAAUCCCUCCUCAGCUCUCGCUGUACACUUCACAUCCAUGGAUCUCAAGAACAGGUAAGAACAGGGAUAAACUUCAACUUCACUUUAGGGACAGGGAAGCAAAGUCUAAAGUAGCAACAUGACUGCCCCACAGGGACCCUUGAGGGGUCACUGACAGAGCCCUGUCUGAAACACAGGUCUCAGACUCCAGAGCCAGUGCUCCUCACUGGGCAAAUCUGCUCCCUCUCAGGCACUGGAACAGCCAAGCCAUAGCUAUCUUUAAACAUGGCUUUGUCUAUCUGAACUCAUGACCCAGGACCCACCUAACUGCUUAACCUGGGAAAAGCUGGCUACAGUAGGCUCAUACCGAGCUCCCCAUUGCCUCCAGGUCCUGUCAUGGCUUUUCUUAGAAAAGCUAACUCACCUACAACAGUGCAGCCUCCCAUACACGGGCACAGAACAGUUUGCCAACGUGCUGGGCACCAAUAUAACUUAUUCCCAGCAGAGAAUAUGCUAUGCCAGUAGUAGUUACUUUAUACCAGCACAACUGUAACUGCAAGGAAAUACAGACCAGCACAUUAAAUAAACCAACUCUUCAAACCAAAACUUCAUCUGGGUAUCAUCGUGUGCUGGCUGGAC